rnacentral:rRNA from 1 species
GCGACCCCAGGUUCGG